UAUGGCCAUAUCAUGUUGAAAUAGUGGUUCUUGUAUGAUCACCUAAGUUAAGCAACGUUGAACCUGGUCAGUACCUGGGUGGGUGACCACUUGGCAAUACCAAGUGCU